rnacentral:rRNA from 1 species
AUGAACGCUGGCGGCGUGCCUAAUCCAUGCCAGUCGAGCGAACAGACGAGGAGCUUGCUCCUCUGACGUUAGCGGCGGACGGGUGAGUAACACGUGGAUAACCUACCUAUAAGACUGGGAUAACUUCGGGAAACCGGAGCUAAUACCGGAUAAUAUAUUGAACCGCAUGGUUCAAUAGUGAAAGACGGUUUUGCUGUCACUUAUAGAUGGAUCUGCGCCGCAUUAGCUAGUUGGUAAGGUAACGGCUUACCAAGGCAACGAUGCGUAGCCGACCUGAGAGGGUGAUCGGCCACACUGGAACUGAGACACGGUCCAGACUCCUACGGGAGGCAGCAGUAGGGAAUCUUCCGCAAUGGGCGAAAGCCUGACGGAGCAACGCCGCGUGAGUGAUGAAGGUCUUCGGAUCGUAAAACUCUGUUAUUAGGGAAGAACAAAUGUGUAAGUAACUAUGCACGUCUUGACGGUACCUAAUCAGAAAGCCACGGCUAACUACGUG